GAUGAACGCUGGCGGCGUGCCUAAUACAUGCAAGUCGGGCGAACAGACGAGGAGCUUGCUCCUCUGACGUUAGCGGCGGACGGGUGAGUAACACGUGGAUAACCUACCUAUAAGACUGGGAUAACUUCGGGAAACCGGAGCUAAUACCGGAUAAUAUAUUGAACCGCAUGGUUCAAUAGUGAAAGACGGUUUUGCUGUCACUUAUAGAUGGUUCCGCGCCGCAUUAGCUAGUUGGUAAGGUAACGGCUUACCAAGGCGACGAUGCGUAGCCGACCUGAGAGGGUGAUCGGCCACACUGGAACUGAGACACGGUCCAGACUCCUACGGGAGGCAGCAGUAGGGAAUUUUCCGCAAUGGGCGAAAGCCUGACGGAGCAACGCCGCGUGAGUGAUGAAGGUCCUCGGAUCGUAAAACUCUGUUAUUAGGGAAGAACAAAUGUGUAAGUAACUAUGCACGUCUUGACGGUACCUAAUCAGAAAGCCACGGCUAACUACGUG
rnacentral:rRNA from 1 species